UUGAUACUUGAGGAGGGUUGGUCUCAGUACGAGAGGACCGGACUGAACGAACCUCUGGUGUACGAGCUGUUCUGCCAAGAGCAGUGCUCGGUAGCUAUGUUCGGUUCUGAUAAGCGCUGAAAGCAUAUAAGCGCGAAGCAGGCUCCAAGAUUAAGUAUCAGGACGCAAGUCCAAUGAUUCCUCGCAGAUUACGAGGUUGAUAGGGCUCAGGUGUAAGCGUAGUAAUACGUUCAGCCGAGAGCUACUAAUAAAUCAU
rnacentral:ncRNA from 1 species